GACGAACGCUGGCGGCGUGCCUAAUACAUGCAAGUAGAACGCUGAAGGAGGAGCUUGCUUCUCUGGAUGAGUUGCGAACGGGUGAGUAACGCGUAGGUAACCUGCCUGGUAGCGGGGGAUAACUAUUGGAAACGAUAGCUAAUACCGCAUAACAGUAGAUGUCGCAUGACAUUUGCUUAAAAGGUGCAAUUGCAUCACUACCAGAUGGACCUGCGUUGUAUUAGCUAGUUGGUGAGGUAACGGCUCACCAAGGCGACGAUACAUAGCCGACCUGAGAGGGUGAUCGGCCACACUGGGACUGAGACACGGCCCAGACUCCUACGGGAGGCAGCAGUAGGGAAUCUUCGGCAAUGGACGGAAGUCUGACCGAGCAACGCCGCGUGAGUGAAGAAGGUUUUCGGAUCGUAAAGCUCUGUUGUAAGAGAAGAACGGGUGUGAGAGUGGAAAGUUCACACUGUGACGGUAUCUUACC
rnacentral:rRNA from 1 species